GUGCCAGCCGCCGCGGUAAUACCGGCAGCGCAAGUGAUGGCCGAUCUUAUUGGGCCUAAAGCGUCCGUAGCUGGCCAGGCAGGUCCAUCGGGAAAUCCACCCGCUCAACGGGUGGGCGCCCGGUGGAAACUGCCCGGCUUGGGACCGGAAGACCCAACGGGUACGUCCAGGGUAGGAGUGAAAUCCCGUAAUCCUGGACGGACCGCCGAUGGCGAAAGCACGUUGGGAAGACGGAUCCGACAGUGAGGGACGAAAGCUAGGGUCUCGAACCGGAUUAGAUACCCUGGUAGUCC
rnacentral:rRNA from 1 species